UACGUAGGGUGCAAGCGUUAAUCGGAAUUACUGGGCGUAAAGCGUGCGCAGGCGGUUAUGUAAGACAGUUGUGAAAUCCCCGGGCUCAACCUGGGAACUGCAUCUGUGACUGCAUAGCUAGAGUACGGUAGAGGGGGGAGUGGUCAAUUCCGCGUGUAGCAGUGAAAUGCGUAGAUAUGCGGAGGAACACCGAUGGCGAAGGCAAUCCCCUGGACCUGUACUGACGCUCAUGCACGAAAGCGUGGGGAGCAAACAGG
rnacentral:rRNA from 1 species